rnacentral:rRNA from 1 species
UACGUAGGGGCCUAGCGUUGUCCGGAUUUAUUGGGCGUAAAGGGCGCGUAGGCGGCUUGGCAAGUGGAAGGUGAAAUCCCUCGGCUUAACCGAGGAACUGCCCUCCAAACUGCUUUGCUUGAGGCCGGGAGAGGUGAGUGGAAUUCCCAGUGUAGCGGUGAAAUGCGUAGAUAUUGGGAGGAACACCAGUGGCGAAGGCGGCUCACUGGACCGGUUCUGACGCUGAGGCGCGAAAGCGUGGGGAGCAAACGGGG